rnacentral:lncRNA from 1 species
AAAAAUCUACCAUAAUAACAUUAGUCAAUUGUACUAUAAUAUUUUUGAAAAUUGUAACAAUGAGUACAGAUUUUUGUGCGGAUGUUGAAUUCGCUGAAGUUGAGGCUAUGAAUUUUUGAAUCAAAAUGGCAAAUUUAUUGUAAUGUAAAUAAUUAUUUACAAAGAUAGAAAUUUAAAGCAACUUCUGCCAAGAAAACUCAUAAAUAAUUUCCAAAUUUAAGCAUAAUGUGUCUCCACAAAAAGAAGGAGCGUCUCUCGCUAUGGCCUUAUGGGCUCAUGGCAAGAACAAUUGGUCAUGGCUACCCCAUCUCUGCUUUUCUCGUUUGGAAGCAUUAAAUUGUAAUAACUAAUAAGCCAUGCACACUUUAUUUCAAACCAUGGUCAAUCACAACAAUGAUGAUAAAGCUCCGCAAAUUUGAAUUUUGUAAACAACCCUAUCUCAACUCAAAAUUGCCGUGCUUUUAGAAAUUAUGUUGCCAAAUGUCACUUCUUUCCUUGACAAUUUACAUCAAUCUUGUCACACGUUUUCAAA